rnacentral:misc_RNA from 1 species
UUUAAUUCCGUUUAACAAUUCCUUUUUCCUUUUACUGAUUACUUCUACUUUUUAUUUCCCAGAAUUCAAGUAUUCAACUCGCGUUGUUUGUAUUUUCUUUAUCAGUUCUUUCGCAAUAUACAAGAAACUACACUCUCCGCGAGAUGCUUACGACAAUUCGCCACAAUGGGACUAUGUUGCCUUUCAUUGCAAACGCAACAGGCCUAGAUGAGAGAGUGCUAGAACGAACUGUUGACUGGUAUUUGAAAGUAGCAAAGUAUAUGGAAACAAAAACAGCAACGCCAACGAGUAACAAAAGUAUAAUCUAUCUUUGCCUUCCCGAUACCAGUGCUGGCUUUCUGAUGUUUGCUUCGGUAUUCAUCGCGCUUGUUAUCAUCUUGGUUCUCUCUUUUUUAACUAAACGGAAGAGGAAAGCGUUGUUGUGCGGUAAAAUUUUCACAAGACCGGGAUUGUGUAUGUAAGUACAUUAUUCAUUUCGGUUUUGUCGUUUUUUUUGGCUGCCCAUCCAUCCCUGCACCAUCUCAACUCAGUUUUGAUAAAAUAGUCAUUUGAGACACCUUAACGAU